GGAUUCGGGGCCGUAACACUGUCUGAGAGGUUUACAUUUCUCACAGUGAACCGGUCUCUUUUUCAGCUGCU
ensembl:miRNA microRNA 128-1